CACAACUUGCCCCAGCUCGGUAGGGCGCAGGCCUGCUAAGUCUGUGACCCGCAAGGGUCUCGGGGGUUCAAAUCCCCCUCCCGGCG
rnacentral:tRNA from 1 species